GUCUCUGCUUUAUGUAUGUAUGUCCUUCAUACUUAGGAAUCCCUUUCUCUUAAGGUGAUGUGGACCACCUUCUUUUCCACAUGAGGCUGAUUUCCAGUUUGUCUCCAGCCUCUUUAUCUUACAACUUAGAAGAGUGUCGAAUAUUAAUUUUGAAAGAUUUUUUAAGAUUGCUUUUCGUACUGUUCCUCAGAGGCCUACGAUUUUCACCUUAAGACCUGGCAGGGCAGAGGGAGCGUGCUGUCAUAGAGAAGUCUGGGAAGACUGGCAAGCCCUCCGCUCUUCUGUCGCAGAAACUCUGCUUUACCUAGUCAGUAUUUUGGGAUUCCGUAAAGGAUAUUACCUGGGAUUAUGUGUGUUUGCGUGCUCCCGCUGCUUAGAAAAAGUAAAAAGCCACUGAAAUACUCAUCUUACCUGUGUAAUGAACUGGUUAAACUAAGGCUUAAACCUAUUCUGACCCUCCCUUUUACUUCCUAGAACAUGCAAACCCUCCAUCAUAUGAGCCGGGAAGGCUCCCAGGGCUGGCCCGGAGCGGGUGCUGGGCAGUCCGUGUGUCCAAAGGCCUGGCAGGGGACCUGUGAUUCUCACCAGCAUGGUGGUCCCGUCCUGGGUGGGGGUGGGGCGGCACCAAGCAAGCAUCUCAGUCAGCGGUGUCACCACGACUGUGAGCAAGACUCUGCAAGCCUGGGCUCUGCAGGAUGGGUUCAGCCACUCGAGAGGACAGCUGCAGAUCGACAGCAGUCACUGGGCAGAGUCGGUCACACAGGAUUCUUUAUUUUAGCGAGAGGAAGAGAGAAACAAGCAGACUGUGGCCUGAGCUCAAAGUCGAAGCCUGGUGUGGGGCUCAUUCUCACCAGCCCGAGAUCACAACCUGAGCUGAAAUCAAGAAUCGGGCAUUUGACUGCACCUCCCAGGUACCACUAAGUUAUUUAUCACAUUCCUGAGAAAGGCUGCCUGGUUUUAACUAGAGUUGAUGCAAAUCGUCCUUAAAAUUCACCGAUUUGGUAGGCUGUAUUUUUCCACAUAUUGUAAUAGCCAGUGUUUCCUGAGCUCUUCCUAGGUCUUGACUAGUGUGUUUAAAUGCUUUACAUUUAAUCCUCACAUCAGCCUUUUGUGAAAUGACAUCCGUAAGGUUCCACAGUAACCGUGGAGCCCAGCUUUGUUUUCCUGGGCUCUUGUGUAGAAGUUAAAUAGUUCUCCUUAAUAGGACUUACUAAUAUGUGACUUCCAACACGUACAGUUUCUGCAUCAGAUUUGGUAUGCUGAAAAUAAGGAUCUUAGAUUCCAUUUUGUCAACUUUUUCCCCCCACAUAAAAUUAGUUUACUGUCUAGGGAAAUGACCUAUUAGUCCAUUGUGAAACCAUUUUUGGAUGAUCUGGAUGUUUGGUUCAAAUCUCAGGACAUUUUACUUUCUCCCUCAUAACUGAAAAAUCAGAGCUGUAAUUAAUCCCUUCCUCGAAAAUUCAAGGAAGAGAAUGCCUUGAAAAUACUUGCUUUUGACUGAUGAAUAACUCAGAAAAAGGUUAGGUAGGCAUUCUUUAUUUACAUCCGUAAAAUGUAGCAGUUGUAUUGACAGAUGAAUGAUAUUCAUUAUAAUGACAAAGUAUGACGGCAAAAGUGUAGGAACUCAAUUACUGGCAGAAAUAGCUUAAAUAUUAUAUAGGAUUAAAUCUAAAAUUCUGUUGAUAAUGUGCUAACUACAUGUAUGCAUAGAUCUCAUUAUAAAAUUUUUGACAUUUUCCAAGUUUAGUAGCCCACGUUUUUC
ensembl:lncRNA